AAUCAACGCUGGCGGCGCGCCUAACACAUGCAAGUCGAGCGAGAAAGGGAGCAAUCCUGAGUAAAGCGGCGCACGGGUGAGUAACACGUGGAUGAUCUACCCUAUGGUGGGGAAUAACCUUGGGAAACCGAGGCUAAUACCGCAUAAGUUCGAGAGAAGAAAGCCGCAAGGCGCCAUUGGAGGAGUCCGCGGCCGAUUAGCUAGUUGGUGGGGUAAAAGCUCACCAAGGCGACGAUCGGUAGCCGGCCUGAGAGGGCACACGGCCACACUGGCACUGAAACACGGGCCAGACUCCUACGGGAGGCAGCAGUGGGGAAUCUUGCACAAUGGGGGAAACCCUGAUGCAGCGACGCCGCGUGAGUGAUGAAGCCCUUCGGGGUGUAAAGCUCUUUCGGCAGGGACGAUAAUGACGGUACCUGCAGAAGAAGCUGCGGCUAACUACGUGCCAGCAGCCGCGGUAAUACGUAGGCAGCAAGCGUUGUUCGGAAUUACUGGGCGUAAAGAGUGCGUAGGCGGUUUGGCAAGUUUGGUGUGAAAUCUCCCGGCUUAACUGGGAGGGUGCGCCGAAAACUGCCAGGCUAGAGUGUGGGAGAGGAAAGUGGAAUUCCUGGUGUAGCGGUGAAAUGCGUAGAUAUCAGGAGGAACACCUGCGGUGUAGACGGCUUUCUGGACCACUACUGACGCUGAGGCACGAAAGCGUGGGGAGCAAACAGGAUUAGAUACCCUGGUAGUCCACGCCCUAAACGAUGCAGACUUGGUGUUGGCCCUUCAUUGGGUCAGUGCCGCAGCUAACGCGGUAAGUCUGCCGCCUGGGGAGUACGGUCGCAAGGCUG
rnacentral:rRNA from 1 species